rnacentral:rRNA from 1 species
UAGGGAAUCUUCCGCAAUGGGCGAAAGCCUGACGGAGCAACGCCGCGUGAGUGAAGAAGGAUUUCGGUUCGUAAAGCUCUGUUGUUAGGGAAGAAUGAUUAUGUAGUAACUAUACAUAGUAGAGACGGUACCUAACCAGAAAGCCACGGCUAACUACGUGCCAGCAGCCGCGGUAAUACGUAGGUGGCAAGCGUUGUCCGGAAUUAUUGGGCGUAAAGCGCGCGCAGGUGGUUUAAUAAGUCUGAUGUGAAAGCCCACGGCUCAACCGUGGAGGGUCAUUGGAAACUGUUAAACUUGAGUGCAGGAGAGAAAAGUGGAAUUCCUAGUGUAGCGGUGAAAUGCGUAGAGAUUAGGAGGAACACCAGUGGCGAAGGCGGCUUUUUGGCCUGUAACUGACACUGAGGCGCGAAAGCGUGGGGAGCAAACAGGAUUAGAUACCCUGGUAGUCCACGCCGUAAACGAUGAGUGCUAAGUGUUGGUCUCAUAAGAGAUCAGUGCUGCAGCUAACGCAUUAAGCACUCCGCCUGGGGAGUACGACCGCAAGGUU